rnacentral:rRNA from 1 species
UGAAGAGUUUGAUCAUGGCUCAGAUUGAACGCUGGCGGCAGGCCUAACACAUGCAAGUCGGGCGGUAACAGGGGAAGCUUGCUUCCUGCUGACGAGCGGCGGACGGGUGAGUAAUGCAUAGGAAUCUGCCUGAUAGUGGGGGAUAGCCCAGAGAAAUUUGGAUUAAUACCGCAUACGCCCUACGGGGGAAAGCAGGGGAUCUUCGGACCUUGCGCUAUCAGAUGAGCCUAUGUCGGAUUAGCUAGUUGGUGAGGUAACGGCUCACCAAGGCGACGAUCCGUAGCUGGUCUGAGAGGAUGAUCAGCCACACUGGGACUGAGACACGGCCCAGACUCCUACGGGAGGCAGCAGUAGGGAAUCUUCCGCAAUGGACGAAAGUCUGACGGAGCAACGCCGCGUGAGUGAAGAAGGGUUUCGGCUCGUAAAACUCUGUUGUCAGGGAAGAACGCCGACGGGAGUAACUGCCCGUCGGGUGACGGUACCUGACCAGAAAGCCACGGCUAACUACGUGCCAGCAGCCGCGGUAAUACGUAGGUGGCAAGCGUUAUCCGGAAUUAUUGGGCGUAAAGCGCGCGUAGGCGGUUCGUUAAGUCUGAUGUGAAAGCCCCCGGCUCAACCGGGGAGGGUCAUUGGAAACUGGCGGACUUGAGUGCAGAAGAGGAGAGUGGAAUUCCAUGUGUAGCGGUGAAAUGCGCAGAGAUAUGGAGGAACACCAGUGGCGAAGGCGGCUCUCUGGUCUGCAACUGACGCUGAGGUGCGAAAGCGUGGGGAUCAAACAGGAUUAGAUACCCUGGUAGUCCACGCCGUAAACGAUGAGUGCUAAGUGUUAGGGGGUUUCCGCCCCUUAGUGCUGCAGCUAACGCAUUAAGCACUCCGC